GACGAACGCUGGCGGCGUGCUUAACACAUGCAAGUCGAACGAAGUGGCGAACGGGUGAGUAACGCGUAAUCAACCUGCCCUUCAAAGGGGGACAACAGUUGGAAACGACUGCUAAUACCGCAUACGGAAGGAGGGGAUUGCGUCGGAUUAGCUGGUUGGCGGGGGAACGGCCCACCAAGGCGAUGACAAGUAGCCGGUCUGAGAGGAUGAACGGCCACAUUGGGACUGAGACACGGCCCAGACUCCUACGGGAGGCAGCAGUGGGGAAUCUUCCGCAAUGGACGAAAGUCUGACGGAGCAACGCCGCGUGAGUGAUGACGGCCUUCGGGUUGUAAAGCUCUGUUAAUCGGGACGCGGUACCGGAAUAGAAAGCCACGGCUAACUACGUGCCAGCAGCCGCGGUAAUUC
rnacentral:rRNA from 1 species